AUUGAACGCUGGCGGCAGGCCUAACACAUGCAAGUCGAGCGGAUGAAGGGAGCUUGCUCCUGGAUUCAGCGACGGACGGGUGAGUAAUGCCUAGGAAUAUGACUGGUAGUGGGGGAUAACGUCAGGAAACGGGCGCUAAUACCGCAUACGUCAUGAGGGAGAAAGUGGGGGAUCUUCGGACCUCACGCUAUCAGAUGAGACUAGGUCGGAUUAGCUAGUUGGUGGGGUAAAGGCCUACCAAGGCGACGAUCCGUAACUGGUCUGAGAGGAUGAUCAGUCACACUGGAACUGAGACACGGUCCAGACUCCUACGGGAGGCAGCAGUGGGGAAUAUUGGACAAUGGGCGAAAGCCUGAUCCAGCCAUGCCGCGUGUGUGAAGAAGGUCUUCGGAUUGUAAAGCACUUUUAGUUGGGAGGAAGGGCAGUAAGUUAAUACCUUGCUGUUUUGACGUUACCAACAGAAUAAGCACCGGCUAACUUCGUG
rnacentral:rRNA from 1 species